AUACUUGGCUGUUUAAUUAAUUAUAAAUAACUAAAGUUAUUUAUGAAAGAUUAAUCAAUUUAUCCGUAAUAGGUUUAUGCUACUAAACAUAGCGUAGUAAAAUUAAUUUGCUACUUUUAUAUUAAGAGAAAUUAUUCUCGUAGACAGGUAUAAGAUCGAUUUUAUCGAGUAAAGUUCUAGAGAAGAAAAAAAUAAAUUGAUGUUUGAUGAUGACAAACCUUCUUUUCUAUAUGUCUUGACCAAAUUACGUGCCAGCAGUCGCGGUAAUACGUAAAAGACUAGUGUUAUUCAUCUUUAGUAGGUUUAAAGGGUACCUAGACGGUAUAAUUAGUCUUAAACAAGAAACGGUUAUGCUAGAGUUAUAUAUGAGAAGGGGAGUAUUUAUGGAGUAGAGUUGAAAUUCUUUGAUCCCAUAACGACUGGUAGCGGCGAAAGCAACCUUUUAUCUAAUAACUGACGUUGAGGGACGAAGGCUCGGGUCACGAACAGGAUUAGAUACCCUAGUAGUCCAAGCAGAGAAUGAUGAAUGCCAUAGAUUAGAUAUGAAUUUAGUUUAUAAAUGAAAGUGUAAGCAUUUCACCUCAAGAGUAAUGUGGCAACGCAGGAACUGAAAUCAUUAGACCGUUUCUGAAACCAGUAGUGAAGUAUGUUAUUUAAUUCGUAUUUACGCGAAAAACCUUACCACAACUUGAAUAUUAUCUUUAUGAUAUUACAAGCGUUGCACGGCUGUCUUCAGUUAAUGUCUUGAGAUAUUGGUUAAUUCCAUGAAAUUAACGGAAACCCUUGCUUUAUUUGGGCAUAAAGCAGUUCACCUUUACAAGGU
rnacentral:rRNA from 1 species